GCAGCGACACAGCGUGGAGGAUGAAGGUCUUCGGAUUGUAAACUCCUUUUAUAUGGGAAGAAUAGAUGACUGUACCAUAUGAAUAAGUACCUGCUAACUACGUGCCAGAAGCAUCGGUGAUGCGUAGGGUACGAACGUUAUCCGGAUUUACUGGGCGUAUAGAGAUGCGUAGGCGGUUUGAUAAGUCUUAAGUUAAAGACCUUGGCUUAACUAAGGGAGAGCUUUCGAAACUAUCAGACUUGAGACAUAGAUGGGUGAACGGAAUUCCGAGUGGAGCGGUAAAAUGUGUUGAUAUUCGGAAGAACAUCAGUGGCGAAAGCGGUUCACUGGCUAUUGUCUGACGCUAAGGCUCGAAAGCGUGGGUAGCAAAACGGAUUAGAUACCCGUGUAGUCCACGCUGUAAACAAUGGAUGCUAGGUGUUUGGUAUGACUACUUUCUAUCUUCGGAUUCUAAGUGGAAGUACCAAGUGCCGCAGCUAACGCGUUAAGCAUCCCGCCUGGGAAGUACGGCCGCAAGGCUAAAACUCAAAUGAAUUGGCGGGGACCCGCACAAGCGGAGUAGCGCGUGGUUUAAUUCGACGGCAAUCGAAGAACCUUACCAGGGUUUGAAAUGUAUCUGCAUACCCCUAGAAAUAGGGGAGGCUUUCGAAGGUGAUACACAGGUGCUGCAUGGCCGUCGUCAGCUCGUGUCGUGAGAUGUAGGGUUAAGUCCCGAAACGAGCGCAACCCCUAUCCUAUGUUACAAGUGUCUUAGGAAACUGCCUCGGUAAAACGGGGAGGAAGGUGGGGAUGACGUCUGGUCCGCAUAGUCCUUAUGUCCUGGGCUACACACACGCUACAAUGGUCGGUACAAUGGGCAGCCAAGCCGCAAGGCGGAGCUAAUCCUUUAAAGCCGAUCUCAGUUCGGAUUGUGGGCUGAAACCCGCCCGCAUGAAGUUGGAUUCGCUAGUAAUCGUGGAUCAGCCAUGCCACGGUGAAUACGUUCUCGGGUCUUGCACACACCGCCCGUCAAGCCAUGGAAGUAGGUGAUACCCGAAGGUGCCUUGCUGUUUACAGUGAGGUGACGAAGGUAACGCUUAUGACUGGGGUUAAGUCGUAACAAGGUAGCCGUAGGGGAAUCUGCGGCUG
rnacentral:rRNA from 1 species